rnacentral:rRNA from 14 species
CAUCUGUUGAAAAAGAUCGGGAUGAGGUGUGCCUAGGGGUGAAAGGCCAAUCAAACUCGGAGAUAGCUGGUUCUCUGCGAAAUCUAUUUAGGUAGAGCGUCGUACGAAUACCCCGGGGGGUAGAGCACUGGAUGGGUAAUGGGGACUCACCGUCUUACUGAUCCUAACCAAACUCCGAAUACCCGGGAGUACUAUACGGCAGACACACUGCGGAUGCUAACGUCCGUAGUGGAGAGGGAAACAACCCUAACCUACAGCUAAGGCCCCUAAUUCAUGGCUAAGUGGGAAAGCAGGUGGGACGACCAAAACAACCAGGAGGUUGGCUUAGAAGCAGCCAUCCUUUAAAGAUAGCGUAACAGCUCACUGGUCUAAAUAAGUUGUCCUGCGGCGAAGAUGUAACGGGGCUCAAGCCAUGAGCCGAAGCUUAGGAUGCACAUAGUGCAUGGUAGCAGAGCGUA